CAGCCGUAAACAAUGUGCGUUAGGUGUGUCGGUAACCACGCGUUACUGAUGCGCCGAAGAGAAAUCGUGAAACGCACCACCUGGGAAGUACGGUCGCAAGGCUGAAACUUAAAGGAAUUGGCGGGGGAGCACCACAACAGGUGGAGCCUGCGGUUUAAUUGGAUUCAACACCGUAAAACUCACCAGGGAAGACUGUUACAUGAAGGCCGAGAUGAAGACUCUGCUAGAUCUUCAGAGAGGUGGUGCAUGGCGUCAGUGACU
rnacentral:rRNA from 1 species